GCAAACUUGGUCAUUUAGAGGAAGUAAAAGUCGUAACAAGGUUUCCGUAGGUGAACCUGCGGAAGGAUCAUCACUGAUUCGGGGGGUGUCGGCGCGGGCAACUGCGCUGAGCCACACCACCCCAACCAAUCUUGUGUGAACCGUAACGCGCAAGCACUAUGCGUGGUGGAGAUUGAUUGGUUGGCGGUACGGGGGGAAAUCAUCCCCACUACCGCCGGCCACCAUCAUGCGAGCAUAUUAUUAUCUUUUUACAAUCUUGUCUAACACAUUACACACGCUAAAUUACACAACUUUUAACAAUGGAUCUCUUGGCUCUCGCAUCGAUGAAGAACGCAGC
rnacentral:misc_RNA from 1 species